rnacentral:rRNA from 1 species
GAUGAACGCUGGCGGCGUGCCUAAUACAUGCAAGUCGAGCGAACGGACGAGAAGCUUGCUUCUCUGAUGUUAGCGGCGGACGGGUGAGUAACACGUGGAUAACCUACCUAUAAGACUGGGAUAACUUCGGGAAACCGGAGCUAAUACCGGAUAAUAUUUUGAACCGCAUGGUUCAAAAGUGAAAGACGGUCUUGCUGUCACUAUUAGCUGCUUUCGCGCUGCUUUAGUUAGUUGUUAAGGUAACGGCUUACCAAGGCAACGAUGCAUAGCCGACCUGAGAGGGUGAUCGGCCACACUGGAAGUGAGACACGGUCCAGACUCCUACGGGAGGCAGCAGUAGGGAAUCGUACGCAAUGGGCGAAAGCCUGACGGAGCAACGCCGCGUGAGCGAUGAAGGUCUUCGGAUCGUAAAACUCUGUUAUUAGGGAAGAACAUAUGUGUAAGUAACUGUGCACAUCUUGACGGUACCUAAUCAGAAAGCAACGGCUAACUACGUG